ACCCUUAUCACACAAGUGAAGUUUGGGCAAGAUCGGACAUUUUAUGCCUGAGUUAUAACAUCUUUUAUUCCCAUGGCGAGACAUUGAACUUCAUCACGGCGCCAUGGACACACCUUUUAACAAAAACUCAAGAUCUUCACAACUAAACAUCACACAGGUCUUUAGAUUAGACUGACCACAAAAAAGACAUUGAUGUCAUAAAAUUUCUAGGAGUAGUUUGUCGCAGUGUAAAAUAUGUAACUUCCUGUUGCCAAUAGGUGGCGCUAUGACUAUAACUGAAUAUUGGCAUGUAGAUCUGUUCAGGUCAAGAGUCUUAUCCAACAUGUGAAGUUUGGGGCAGAUUGGACAUUGUAUGUCUGAGUUACAGCAACUUCCUUUUUCAUGGCGAAACAUCGAAAUUUGUCAGGCCGCCAUGGACCCGCCCUUUAACGAAACCUCAAGUCCUUCGCAAUUUAUUAUCGCAAAGGGCUUUAGAUUACACUGACCAAGUUUGGUGUUGAUCUGAAUAAAUCUCUAGGAGGAGUUCGUUAAAGUACAACCCCUGAAAAUGGCAAAAACAACAGCAAUUUUGAAGGGAAAAUUCAAAAUAACCGACUUCCUGUUGGGAUCCGGAUUUCGUACCAAGAGACUUUUUUGUAGGUAUUGGAGUGUUACAUGUGUGUACCAAUUUUUGUACAUGUACGUGAAACAUAGCUCGAGGCGCACUCCGUUGAAAGUGUAUAGGUGGCGCUAUAGAGCCAUUCUGCCACACCCGGUGGAAUAUUGGCCUGAAGAUCUGUUCAGGCCAGGACUCUUAUCACACAUGUGAAGUUUGGGGAAGAUCGGACAUCUUAUGCCUGAGUUAUAACAUCUUUUAUUCGCAUGGCGAGACAUCGAACUUCGUCGCGGCGCCAUGAACAAGCCUUUUAACGAAAACUCAAGAUCUUCACAACUGAACAUCGCACAGGCAUUUAGAUUAGACUGACCACAAAAAAGACAUUGAUGUCAUAAAAUUUCUAGGAGUAGUUCGUCGCAGCGUAAAAUAUGUCACUUCCUGUUGCCAAUAGGUGGCGCUAUGACUAUAACUGAAUAUGGGCAUGUCAAUCUGUUCAGGUUCGGAGUCUCAUCAAACAUGUGAAGUUUGGGGCAGAUUGGUCAUUGUAUGUGUGAGUUAUAGCAACUUCAUUUUUCAUGGCGAAUCAUCGAAAUUCGCCAGGCCGCCACGGACACGCCCUUCAACGAAAAGUCAGGAUCUUCGCAAUUUAACAUCGCAAAGGCCUUUAGAUUAGACAUACCAAAUUUGGUGUUGAUUUGAAGAACUCUCUAGGAGGAGUUCGUUAAAAUACAACACAUGGAAAUGACCAAAAUUACACAAAAUAUGCUCAUAAUAUUAAAAAUAACCGACUUCCUGUUGGGUUUAGAAUUUCGCUCCAAGAGUCUUUUUUGUAGGUAUUGGUGUGUUACAUAUGUGUGCCAAUUUUCGUGCAUGUACGUGAAACAUAGCUGGAAGGCUGUUGAUUUUCUUGGUAUAGGUGGCGCUGUCGAGCCAUUUUGCCACACCCUCUUCUGAAUCCUAUAUCAGACGAAAAUUUUCACCAGGUUUGACGAGUGUGCAAAGUUUCAUGACUUUUUGAGCAUGUUAAAGCCCUCAAAAAUGCGAUUCAUUCGGGAGAAGAAGAAGAAGAAGAAGAAUAAUAAUAAUAAAAAACAAAGCAGAUACAAGAGGGUCCUCGCACCUCGGUGCUCGGGCCCUAAUUAAAGCUGCAAGCAGCGAUGAACGGGCCCUCGCACCCGGGCUCACCGCCAUCGUGUGGCUUUAGUAAAAAGGUGUACGUUGAGAAAUAUGCAUUUAAACUCAUAAAUAUAAGUGCAAUAUAUCAAAGUUUAUUCCAUAUGUGUGCCAAUCUUCCUGUUGCCAGCAGGUGGCGCUAUCGUUAUAAUGGAAUAUUGGCCUUCAGAUGUGUUCAAGCCAGGACCCUUAUCACACAUGUGAAGUUUGGGCAAGAUCGGACAUUUUAUGCCUGAGUUAUAACAUCUUUUAUUCCCGUGGCAAGACAUCGAACUUCGUCAUGGCGACAUGGACACGCCUUUUAACAAAAACUCAAGAUCUUCACAACUAAACAUCACACAGGUCUUUAGAUUAGACUGACCACAAAAAAGACAUUGAUGUCAUACAAUUUCUGGGAGUAGUUUGUCUCAGUGUAAAAUAUGUCACUUCCAGUUGCCAAUAGGUGGCGCUAUGACUAUAACUGAAUAUUGGCAUGUAGAUCUGUUCAGGUGAAGAGUCUUAUCAAAAAUGUGAAGUUUGGGGCAGAUUGGACAUUGUAUGUGUGAGUUAUAGCACCAUCAUUUUUCAUGGCGAAUCAUCGAAAUUUGUCAGGCCGCCAUGGACACGCCCUUUAACGAAACCUCAAUUCCUUCGCAAUUUAACAUCGCAAAGGGCUUUAGAUUACACUGACCAAGUUUGUUGUUGAUCUGAAUAAAUCUCUAGGAGGAGUUCAUUAAAAUACAACCCCUGAAAAUGACAAAAACAACACCAAUUUUGCAGGGAAAAUAAAAAAUAACCGACUUCCUGUUGGGAUUCGGAUUUCGUACCAGGAGACUUUUUUGUAGCUAUUGGUGUGUUACAUAUGUUAACCGAUUUUCGUACAUGUAUAUGACAUGUAGCUCGAGGCGCACUCCAUUGAAAAUGUAUAGGUGGCGCUAUCGAGCCAUUUUGCCACACCCAAUGGAAUAUUAGCCUCCAGAUGUGUUCAGGUCAGGACUCUUAUCAAACAUUUGAAGUUUGGGCAAGAUCUGAUAUUUUAUGACUGAGUUACAACAACUUCUACUCCCAUGGCGAGACAUCGAACUUUGACAUGGCGCCAUGGACACGCCCUUUAACGAAAACUCAAGAUCUUCUCAAUUUAACAUCUUACAGGCCUUUAGAUUAGACUGACGACAAAAAAGACAUUGAUGUCAAAAAUUUCUAGGAGUAGUUUGUCGCAGCGUAAAAUAUGUCACUUCCUGUUGCCAAUAGGUGGCGCUAUGACUGUAACUGAAUAUGGUCGUGUCAAACUGUUCAGGACAGGAGUCUCAUCAAACAUGUGAAGUUUGGGGCAGAUUGGUCAUUUUAUGUCUGAGUUAUAGCAACUUCCUGUUUCAUGGCGAAUCAUCGAAAAUCGCCAGGCCGCCACACACAGGCCCUUCAACGAAAACUCAAAAGCUUCGCAAUUUAACAUCGCAAAGGCCUUUAGAUUAGGCAUACCAAAUUUGGUGUUGAUCUGAAUUAAUCUCUAGGAGGAGUUCGUUAAAAUACAACGCAUGGAAAUGACAAAAAUGACACAAAAUUUGCUCAUAAUAUUAGAAAUAACCGACUUCCUGUCUGGUUUCGGAUUUUGCUCCAAGAGACUUUUUUGUAGGUAUUGGAGAGUUACAUGUGUAUACCGAUUUUCAUACAUGUACAUGAAACGUAGCUCGAGGCGCACACCGUUGAACGUGUAUAGGUGGCGCUGUUGAGCCAUUUUGCCACACCCACUUCUGAAACCCAUAUCAGACGUAAAUUUUCGCCAGUUCUGAGGUGUGUGCAAAGUUUCAUGACUUUUCGAGCAUGUUUAGGCCCUCAAAAAUGCGAUUCAUCUUAGAGAAGAAGAAUAAUAAUAAUAAAUAUAGCUGCAAGCAGCGAUGGCGGGCUCAAGCCACCAAUGCCAUCGCCACCCCGGUGGCAUCAGGUAAACUGUGCCCAGCGGGCACAUGCAUUCACAAUAUCCCUCUGGCAGUGAGGUUUUAAAGGA